UACGAAGGGGGCUAGCGUUGCUCGGAAUCACUGGGCGUAAAGCGCACGUAGGCGGAUUGUUAAGUCAGGGGUGAAAUCCUGGAGCUCAACUCCAGAACUGCCUUUGAUACUGGCGAUCUUGAGUCCGGGAGAGGUGAGUGGAACUCCGAGUGUAGAGGUGAAAUUCGUAGAUAUUGGGAAGAACACCAGUGGCGAAGGCGGCUCACUGGCCCGGUACUGACGCUGAGGUGCGAAAGCGUGGGGAGCAAACAGG
rnacentral:rRNA from 1 species